AGAGUUUGAUCCUGGCUCAGGAUGAACGCUAGCUACAGGCUUAACACAUGCAAGUCGAGGGGAAACGAUAUUGGAAGCUUGCUUCCGAUAGGCGUCGACCGGCGUACGGGUGAGUAACGCGUAUCCAACCUGCCCCACCACUUGGGGAUAACCUUGCGAAAGUAAGACUAAUACCCAAUGACGUCUCUAGAAGACAUCUGAAAGAGAUUAAAGAUUUAUCGGUGAUGGAUGGGGAUGCGUCUGAUUAGCUUGUUGGCGGGGUAACCGGCCCACCAAGGCGACGAUCGAGUAGGGUUCUGAGACGGAACGCCCCCACAUUGGAACUGAGACACGGUCCAAACUCCUACGGGAGGCAGCA
rnacentral:rRNA from 1 species